GAUGAACGCUGGCGGCGUGCCUAAUACAUGCAAGUCGAGCGAACAGAUGAGGAGCUUGCUCCCCUGACGUUAGCGGCGGACGGGUGAGUAACACGUGGAUAACCUACCUAUAAGACUGGGAUAACUUCGGGAAACCGGAGCUAAUACCGGAUAAUAUAUUGAACCGCAUGGUUCAAUAGUGAAAGACGGUUUUGCUGUCACUUAUAGAUGGAUCCGCGCCGCAUUAGCUAGUUGGUAAGGUAACGGCUUACCAAGGCAACGAUGCGUAGCCGACCUGAGAGGGUGAUCGGCCACACUGGAACUGAGACACGGUCCAGACUCCUACGGGAGGCAGCAGUAGGGAAUAUUCCGCAAUGGGCGAAAGCCUGACGGAGCAACGCCGCGUGAGUGAUGAAGGUCUUCGGAUCGUAAAACUCUGUUAUUAGGGAAGAACAAAUGUGUAAGUAAAUAUGCACGUCUUGACGGUACCUAAUCAGAAAGCCACGGCUAACUACGU
rnacentral:rRNA from 1 species